GUGGGGAAUAUUGGACAAUGGGGGGAACCCUGAUCCAGCCAUGCCGCGUGUGUGAAGAAGGCCUUUUGGUUGUAAAGCACUUUAAGCGAGGAGGAGGCUACCGAGAUUAAUACUCUUGGAUAGUGGACGUUACUCGCAGAAUAAGCACCGGCUAACUCUGAGCCAGCAGCCGCGGUAAUACAGAGGGUGCAAGCGUUAAUCGGAUUUACUGGGCGUAAAGCGCGCGUAGGUGGCCAAUUAAGUCAAAUGUGAAAUCCCCGAGCUUAACUUGGGAAUUGCAUUCGAUACUGGUUGGCUAGAGUAUGGGAGAGGAUGGUAGAAUUCCAGGUGUAGCGGUGAAAUGCGUAGAGAUCUGGAGGAAUACCGAUGGCGAAGGCAGCCAUCUGGCCUAAUACUGACACUGAGGUGCGAAAGCAUGGGGAGCAAACAGGAUUAGAUACCCGGGUAGUCC
rnacentral:rRNA from 1 species